CCCGGUGCCUGCCACGUAGUAGGUGCUUAGUAUGUGGGGACUAGUACUGUUAUCUGCUGAAGCCCCCAGCCUGGUGCCUGGCACAUAGUAGGUGCUCAUUAUGUGGGGACUAGUACUGUUACCUGAUGAAGCCCCCAGCCUGGUGCCUGGCACAUAGUAGGUGCUCAUUAUGUGGGGACUAGUACUGUUACCUGAUAAAGUCCCCAGCCCGGUGCCUGGCACGUAGUAGGUGCUCAUUAUGUGGGGACUAGUACUGUUACCUGAUGAAGCCCCCAGCCCGGUGCCUGGCACGUAGUAGGUGCUCAUUAUGUGGGGACUAGUACUGUUACCUGAUAAAGUCCCCAGCCCGGUGCCUGGCACGUAGUAGGUACUCAUGUGGGGACUAGUACUGUUACCUGAUGAAGCCCCCAGCCCGGUGCCUGGUACGUAGUAGGUGCUUAGUAUGUGGGGACUAGUACUGUUAUCUGAUGA